AACGAACGCUGGCGGCAUGCCUAACACAUGCAAGUCGAACGAGACCUUCGGGUCUAGUGGCGCACGGGUGCGUAACGCGUGGGAACCUGCCCUUAGGUUCGGAAUAACUCCCCGAAAGGGGUGCUAAUACCGGAUAAUGUCUUCGGACCAAAGAUUUAUCGCCUUUGGAUGGGCCCGCGUUGGAUUAGCUAGUUGGUAGGGUAAAAGCCUACCAAGGCUACGAUCCAUAGCUGGUCUGAGAGGAUGAUCAGCCACACUGGGACUGAGACACGGCCCAGACUCCUACGGGAGGCAGCAGUGGGGAAUAUUGGACAAUGGGCGAAAGCCUGAACCAGCAAUGCCGCGUGAGUGAUGAAGGCCUUAGGGUUGUAAAGCUCUUUUACCCGGGAUGAUAAUGACAGUACCGGGAGAAUAAGCACCGGCUAACUCCGUG
rnacentral:rRNA from 1 species